rnacentral:rRNA from 1 species
UACGUAGGGGGCUAGCGUUGUCCGGAUUUAUUGGGCGUAAAGAGCGUGUAGGCGGCCAGGUAGGUCUGCUGUGAAAACUCGAGGCUCAACCUCGAGACGUCGGCGGAAACCAUCUGGCUAGAGUCCGGAAGAGGAGAGUGAAAUUCCUGGUGUAGCGGUGAAAUGCGCAGACAUCAGGAAGAACACCCGUGGCGAAGGCGGCUCUCUGGGCCGUAACUGACGCUGAGGCGCGACAGCGUGGGGAGCAAACAGG